GGACUACUGGGGUAUCUAAUCCCGUUUGCUCCCCUAGCUUUCGCGCCUCAGCGUCAGUAGAGAUCCAGCCCGCCGCUUUCGCCACCGGCGUUCCUUCUGAUAUCAACGCAUUUCACCGCUCCACCAGAAGUUCCGCGGGCCCCUACCUCCCUCGAGCACAUCAGUAUCCAAGGCACUUCUCCAGUUGAGCUGGAGGAUUUCACCCCGGACUUGAUCUGCCGCCUACGCGCCCUUUAAGCCCAGUGAUUCCGAACAACGUUCGCACGGUUCGUCUUACCGCGGCUGCUGGCAC
rnacentral:rRNA from 1 species